GAACUGAAACAUCUAAGUACCCCGAGGAAAAGAAAUCAACCGAGAUUCCCCCAGUAGCGGCGAGCGAACGGGGAGGAGCCCAGAGCCUGAAUCAGUGUGUGUGUUAGUGGAAGCGUCUGGAAAGGCGCGCGAUACAGGGUGACAGCCCCGUACACAAAAAUGCACAUGCUGUGAGCUCGAUGAGUAGGGCGGGACACGUGGUAUCCUGUCUGAAUAUGGGGGGACCAUCCUCCAAGGCUAAAUACUCCUGACUGACCGAUAGUGAACCAGUACCGUGAGGGAAAGGCGAAAAGAACCCCGGCGAGGGGAGUGAAAAAGAACCUGAAACCGUGUACGUACAAGCAGUGGGAGCCUCUUUAUGGGGUGACUGCGUACCUUUUGUAUAAUGGGUCAGCGACUUAUAUUCUGUAGCAAGGUUAACCGAAUAGGGGAGCCGAAGGGAAACCGAGUCUUAACUGGGCGUUAAGUUGCAGGGUAUAGACCCGAAACCCGGUGAUCUAGCCAUGGGCAGGUUGAAGGUUGGGUAACACUAACUGGAGGACCGAACCGACUAAUGUUGAAAAAUUAGCGGAUGACUUGUGGCUGGGGGUGAAAGGCCAAUCAAACCGGGAGAUAGCUGGUUCUCCCCGAAAGCUAUUUAGGUAGCGCCUCGUGAAUUCAUCUCCGGGGGUAGAGCACUGUUUCGGCAAGGGGGUCAUCCCGACUUACCAACCCGAUGCAAACUGCGAAUACCGGAGAAUGUUAUCACGGGAGACACACGGCGGGUGCUAACGUCCGUCGUGAAGAGGGAAACAACCCAGACCGCCAGCUAAGGUCCCAAAGUCAUGGUUAAGUGGGAAACGAUGUGGGAAGGCCCAGACAGCCAGGAUGUUGGCUUAGAAGCAGCCAUCAUUUAAAGAAAGCGUAAUAGCUCACUGGUCGAGUCGGCCUGCGCGGAAGAUGUAACGGGGCUAAACCAUG
rnacentral:rRNA from 1 species